GGAGCGAGAAAUGAGACCAAAGCAAUAAGGGGCAGUAUCCAAGGAGUGAGAAAGUUUCCAUUCUUAGGGGAUAGAGGGCUGAGUUUUGUUUGCUUCUGUGAGACCCCCUCAAUCCCAGCCUAUCCCUCCUGUGCCCAGGAAUAACCUCAGCGCUGAUCAUUCCCACACUUACUUUUCUUUUGGAGUACAAUCCUUUCUGCUGCUGCUCUUAGAGAGCCUUCCCUGCCUGCGUUGCCAUUUGUUUACUAUUUGCAUUCAGCCAAAUAAAUCUAAGUCCAUUGGCUGCUGAUAUAUAUAUACAGUAUACCCCCCUCCAUGCAUUAGAAGCAGCAACAACAGCAGCAGGGCUACUUGGCAGCCCGAGCACUGUGUUAGGCUGCAGCAGUCACUCGGCACUAAACAAGCAGCGCUGCUCCUAACAGGAGGGGGAGGGUGAUUAACGCCAUAUAAGGUCAAAACCGCACCUCCUUAGAUGUCUCCGGCUGACAGUGCUGCUCCCCUGGCUGGGUUUAGAGGUUUGGCUCUCGUGAAAGGAGGAGCGCUCCGUGCUGCGCUGCUAUACAGGCAUCCCAAAAAACACAGGACAUUGCCACUAUACUGAGGUUGUAUGAAGCGGCUGGAGACGUUUUCUUUCAUGGAGUUCAGAGGAGAGAAACAACAACGUAUUUCUAUAAGUUCAUCUGACACCCAGUGACACCCUGAAUAUAUCUAAGAUGUGGAAGAAUAAUGUACCGGUCACGUAUAUAGAGAAUGAACAAAUAAUUCCUGCUAAAUGAGGCAAGCUCAGUUUCUGUGCGGCUUUAUUAAUUGUGUUGUGUAUCUGUUUUAGCCAAGUUUAUGGUUUAACAUCAAAUAGCAAUACACUUUUGCUGUUAGUACAAUAUGCGUGGAAUUGUCAUCUAAUGUUUAAGCCAAGCUCAUUGGUGCUGCUCUUUUUAGUAUUGGUUUAUAAUAAGCCACACAGUAUUUCCGUGCCUUACUGAUG